rnacentral:rRNA from 1 species
GAGUUUGAUCCUGGCUCAGAACGAACGCUGGCGGCGUGCCUAACACAUGCAAGUCGAACGAGAAACUCGCCUUCGGGCGGGAAGUAAAGUGGCGGACGGGUGAGUAACACGUGGGUAACUUGCCCUCGAGUGGGGAAUAACCCGCCGAAAGGUGGGCUAAUACCGCAUACCGCUCCGGAUUCCUCGGAAACCGGAACGAAAGGUGGCCUCUACAUGUAAGCUACCGCUCGAGGAGGGGCCCGCGGCCCAUUAGCUAGUAGGUGGGGUAACGGCCUACCUAGGCUACGAUGGGUAGCCAGCCUGAGAGGGUGACUGGCCACACUGGAACUGAGACACGGUCCAGACUCCUACGGGAGGCAGCAGUGAGGAAUUUUGCGCAAUGGGCGAAAGCCUGACGCAGCAACGCCGCGUGGAUGAUGAAGGCCUUCGGGUCGUAAAAUCCUGUCAGGUGGGAAGAAAACGCAUGGGUUAAUAUCCUGUGUGACUGACUGUACCACCAGAGGAAGCCCCGGCUAACUCCGUGCCAGCAGCCGCGGUAAUACGGAGGGGGCUAGCGUUGUUCGGAAUUACUGGGCGUAAAGGGCGCGUAGGCGGUUGGGUGUGUCUGACGUGAAAGCCCUUGGCUCAACCAAGGAAGUGCGUCUUAUACUGCCCGACUCGAGUCCGGGAGAGGAGAGUGGAAUUCCCAGUGUAGCGGUGAAAUGCGUAGAUACUGGGAGGAACACCGGUGGCGAAGGCGGCUCUCUGGACCGGUACUGACGCUGAGGCGCGAAAGCUAGGGGAGCAAACAGGAUUAGAUACCCUGGUAGUCCUAGCUGUAAACGAUGGGCACCUGGUGUGGCGGGUAUCGACCCCUGCCGUGCCGAAGCUAACGCAUUAAGUGCCCCGCCUGGGGAGUACGGUCGCAACGCUGAAACUCAAAGGAAUUGACGGGGGCCCGCACAAGCGGUGGAGCAUGUGGUUUAAUUCGACGCAACGCGAAGAACCUUACCUGGGUUUAAAUUGCAGGUGACCGCCAUAGAAACAUGGCUUCCCUUCGGGGCACCUGUAGAGGUGCUGCAUGGCUGUCGUCAGCUCGUGUCGUGAGAUGUUGGGUUAAGUCCCGCAACGAGCGCAACCCUUACCCUUAGUUGCCAGCGGAUAAUGCCGGGAACUCUAGAGGAACUGCCGGUGUCAAGCCGGAGGAAGGUGGGGAUGACGUCAAGUCCUCAUGGCCCUUAUAGGCAGGGCUACACACGUGCUACAAUGGCCGGUACAAAGGGCUGCAAAGGCGUGAGCCGGAGCUAAUCCCAAAAAUCGGCCCUCAGUUCGGAUUGGAGUCUGCAACUCGACUCCAUGAAGUUGGAAUCGCUAGUAAUCGCGGAUCAGCACGCCGCGGUGAAUACGUUCCCGGGCCUUGUACACACCGCCCGUCACAUCACGAAAGUCGGCUGCACUUGAAAUCGCCGUGCCAACCUUCGGGGGGCAGGCGCUGAUGGUGUGGUCGAUGAUUGGGGUGAAGUCGUAACAAGGUAACCA